GACAGAGGGUGCAAACGUUGUUCGGAAUUACUGGGCGUAAAGCGUGUGUAGGCGGUCCACUAAGUCGGGUGUGAAAGCCCUGGGCUCAACCCAGGAAGUGCACUCGAAACUGGCGGGCUAGAGUAUCGGAGAGGUUGGUGGAAUUCUCGGUGUAGAGGUGAAAUUCGUAGAUAUCGAGAGGAACACCGGUGGCGAAGGCGGCUCGCUGGGACGUUACUGACGCUGAGACGCGAAAGCGUGGGGAGCAAACAGG
rnacentral:rRNA from 1 species